UACUUAAAUGUAACAAUAUAACCCUUUUUCAGCUGUAUGUCAGGCAAAGUUUGGAGCUCUGUGCUGCAUAAUGAUUAAAAUUAAUACAGAAGUAUUGCUUAGAGAGGAAAGACAUUUUAAUGCAUAUCUUCUAAUUGAUUAGCAACCAAAUAGGACAUAAAGACAGCACAAGAGAAGGAAAGAGUGUGAGUCAUCUGAUGCCCUAGCACUUACUCUGUUGCCAUGAGGAACAUCAUCUUUAGUUACAGUUUCAUGACUCUGCAUUGCCGUAGUUGAUAAUUCACAGUGCACAAGAGCAAUAGGCUUGUGUGGAACCUAGUGAAAUUUGGAUCCCAAAAAGAAGUGGGGAUGACUGAAUGUGUGCCAUUUUCAGAUUAGCGAUUCAGAUGUAAAAUAGUUAUUCAGAGAGACCAUAAUGUUCUCUGAGAAAAUCUGUUUGACACGUACCAGCAGUACAUUUCAUCAAAACCGUGGUGGUGGAGACUGCUAUAUUCUCUAGCCACAGAGCAGAGAUGUACUGGUGAAGACAAGCCUUGCCUGUACCCACCAAUGUGCUUUAACUCUGGUGCAGAAUGGUCACAGGUGGAUCUGUGAAUAAAUUUCUUCACAGCAGCAGCAUAACUAUGUUUGAGGAAACAUCAGUGUAGGCAGGAUAGUGAUGUGGGUGUUUCAUGAGUUUAGUCUGUAUUGUUGGGGUUAGAAACCACUGCAUGAUUUGGAGUUGAGAAAUCAAAGUAUUAGCCAGCUGAGGGAGAAAUCCCAAUUCUUUCUGGCUCUGUUACUACACCUGGCAGCAUCUAAGUUGCCAAAGGGAUGAUAUUCUGUAUAAUAGGACUACAACAUUCAUGGCAGAGCAGCAGCUCUUUCCAGCCCGGGGCGGCGCCGGCACCGCUGCCUGCUAAAGGGUUCUCUCGGGGUCAGCGGCAUCCCGCCUGCAGAACCAAGCGCUGCGGCAGCUUUCUGCUCCAGGAAAUGACUGCUUUGGCCCAGGCCAGACUGAAAAGGAGCACAUUAAAGGCAUCCCAGGAGAGCAUGGCAGCCUGCACAAGCCUAUGGGAAGGUAGAGGAGGGGAAAUAUAGACAGUAUUUGCUGAAAAAUAUAGACAAUACCCCAAGAGAGUAUACAUGAAGAAACAGUGGAAAAUAAAGGCAAGUCAAAGAAAAACACACAAAGUUUAAGUGUUAGCUUUACUGAAAGCAACUAAUGUUUAGGUUACUUGAUAUGUAAAAAUUUGAAAUUUUCCAUAUUUAUCUGACCAGUUUGUAUCCCAUCAUGUUUUGAUAUGAAUUUUAGAUGCUACUUGCAAACAAAAGAAGAGUAUCAAUAUAAUAAUAUAUGUUUGCUUUACAGAUUCAUCUUCCCAUUAUCAUCUCUGAAAACCAGUUAAAAAAUACAGAAGCACCAUAAAGACAAGUUAUGUAGAAAAAUAUUUUAUUAGAUAAAGAGGAAGCCAUAAAACAAGUCCAUUGCUUUUAUCAGAAUAUUUUUAUUCCUUUGUUGUCUUGUGAAACUAUACAGAGUGUUCUUGGUGAAAAUCAAGGAUGAUUAGGAGAGCAGAUCAAAGCAAGCAUAUUUUCCAGAGUGAAGUUAUCCACAGUCCUUUGAUAGACUUUGUUAAUACAUGUGUAUAUGUAAUUUUGUAUGCCAAGGCAUUCAGAUAUACUUCCCUUCAGGUUUAUGAGUUUUUAGUUUGAGUUUUCUAGUUUAAUUUAUUGUUUUUAUUAGAUGACUCUUAGUAGAUGAUUGUGCUAUCUAGAUGGCUAGAAUAAUGCCUAAAAUUUGUUGGCAGUACCACUUCUUUCCCUAUCUAUCCCAAAUUCAAUUAAAAUUCUAUUUUUUUGAUAUGUGGCAAUCUAGAAUACUUGUGUUACAGUAAUUCAAGCUAUAAUUACUUUAAUCUCACAUAAUCCAGAUACAUCUAAGAAACAUAUUUUGAGUUACAAAUUUUGUUUUCUAAUAUUGGAAGUAACAUAUGUAGAUGGAAACUAAAUUAGAAAAGUUUGUUUCCUAUUACUUUUAUGCUAUGUAAUGCUCUCUGUUAGACUGGUAUUACUUAAACUGUGCUUAGAAUUUAAAAAAUUGUCACUUACUGUAUAAUUAACAGAGUUAUUAGUUGGAGUCCCUUUUAUCAUAGAAACCUGUGUUUAGGUUUUUAUUUUGUCUGACAAUGAAAAAAAUAAGAGAACAAAUAUUAGGGUAAAGACUGCGUUUGUGGUGAGAGCUAGCUAGUAUUUUUAUCAGCUUUACUUUCUGCUCCAAAAUUUUGGGUAAAAGGUGAGUCUAGAGACUCGAGAUAACCUCACAGCUUUGUAGCCUUAGAAAUGGUCAGGAACCAGGAAUGCUUUGAUUUUGGGGACUACAGUUUCCAGACAGCUAUCUCCCUACAAACCAGGGCUAGGAGGAGAAUGUGAAAAACAAGGAAGCAGGUAAAACUGAACAUAUAAUUUUUGUGUUUAAACAAAGAAUAUUAAGAAAUUAUUAAGGGAAUUGCUACAAGAAUGGUGAGUAAUUUGACCUCUUUGCCUUCUGCUAGACUGCAUGUCCUCUGGUAGGAUUUGAUGUAGAACAUGAAAAGAACAUGAGAGGUCUCCACAGACAGUUCAGUCUCCAACAUGUUACUCAGUACAGACACCGGCUGCCUUUUAGUGGAUAUAAGUACUUUUUCAGCCAGGAAAUUCUACAUAACCAUAACGUCAUAGCGGGGCAAAUCUGUUGGAUUUGUGUCUCAAGGAAUGAAUAAAAUAGUUGUUUUCCUCAAUUAUUUUUCCUACCCCAGCAGGGUAGGGAAAGUUGGUUGGUUUGUUUCUCAGUUUUUAACAAAGGUCGUUCUGGUCCCUUUGUGUCUCCUUAUAUUUGAGCAACUGGCACACUGAUGCAGGGAUACAGCAAGCACAUUUUUGCUUCUCUCUGUAGCACCAAACAACGCCUGCAGUAGUUACUGGUCUUCCUUGGGGCAUUUGGAGACUGCAGCAGAGCUGUGAAGAGAGUCAGGGCUCUGGUCAGGAUCCUUCUGCUGUGCUCAGGGAGGAACAAAGAUGUUGCUACCACAUAUUCCAUUGGUGUUAAAAUGAAGCAAGCAGGCAGCUUGGCUUUAAAUACAAGGUAUUCUCUCCUGCCUCCCCUGGCUGCCUCUCUGAAUUCUCCCUGAUGUUUGACCAUCUCAUUUAGUUCCAUUCACCCUCCUACACUGAUUUUUUUUCUCCCAAAGAUUUCUGCUGUGUUGUGGAGCAUGUAACUGUGAAAACUGAAGUUCAGAGCACUAAUACCACGAGCUUCUGAGUGUAAGUCACCAUUUUUUAAUGCCUAAGAGAAAAAUAAUGAACUGAUUUCUGUACAUAAAGGAAACAUUUCUGUCUAAAAGUAUAUCCUACAUGAAGUACAUAGCUAGAUAUAUGGCCAAUGGGCCAUUUAUUUUAGAUAAGUAAUGCAUAUAUUUUAUGCUAAUUAUUUGCACAGAUUUUAAUUCCAUGGGAGACAAAUUAACCAAUACCCUCAAGUAAGUUAUGCUCAGCAUUCUUGGUAUCAUUAGGUUAGAUUUCAUGUCAAAAGAUAGAUUGUUAUGCUUUUUUAUGAAGGAAAAAGUACCAUAAAAAAUUGCACAUAGUGUAAUCACAGGUAUUGAAGGUGUUGAAGUAAAAAUAUCUCCGUGCAGUGACAGACAAAGGAAGACCUUUUCUAAUAGAGAUAACUGUCUUUUUUCCUUUAAAGUUGGUUCAUUUUUUCGUGACAUGAAAUUCAGGGAGUCCAGUAGUGACUUGUUUCUUUUCUUAGUCUAUCAACUACACAUUCAGUUCAUUUAACUAUAUUAUUUUUUAUGCAAAAUGGCAAUAGAUAUUGUAUCAAAUAUUCCAGCAUCACACAGUUCUCUACCAAAGCCCAACCAUUUUGAACUAUUUUUGAGAUUAGUUUGUAGUAUGUUCUUUCUUCCACUGGAGGAGUCAGAGGGUUUAGGGUGACGAAGGGGUCAUCUGGGAGAGCUCAUUGAAAAGCCAGUGAAAAGGAUGAUGUUUUAACUUAAUAUUCUAACAACAUUGUGGGGCACAUUACAGGAAAUCAGAAGUUCCCAUCUUCUGAUUCCCUUGAAUAAAGAACUGUACUUGAGAAGGCUCCUAAUAUAUCACAGCUCCCCUACUGGGGAUGAUGAGUACAACUUAUACAUAGCAUGCAGUUUCAGGAAAGCUGAUUAUAAAACAUCAGACUAACCUUGUAUAGACAGCUGCCACAGUGUGUUUUGCAGGUGUAAAAGGACAAAAGAAUCAAGGUUCCUUCAUUUCCUUGUAAUCUUGGUGUGUAACUAUAGCUUUAGCACAUGUGCAUCUUUUCAUUGUCACCACUCACUUAUACCGCUGGUACCUAUUGUGCUCUGUAUGGUUUUUAUCCUCUAUAAUCCUUUUAUUCUCUCUGUGACUUUGCAAAUGUACUCCACAAUGCUUUGAAGAUUAAUCCCAUAAUUAAAGGACAUAGUUAAAUAAUGUAAUUCUGGCUUGCUUAUACGGAAGAGGCACGUACAGUCUUCAACUAUUAAGUUACAUCUAAAAGUAUAUUUCACUUGAAGAAACAAAGACCAGCAAAUAUUUUCAAAAGAAGGAUUUACAGCUUUCAUGACAUAUCAGGUAAGCAUGAAUAUCAUGUCAUAUAUUAUGCUUUGUCCGGAACAUACUUAAUUUAAGGUGUAAUGUUUAAUUCAUCUCUACUAUUUUCGUAUGACAGUAGAAACACCUGUCCUGAUUAUUAAACAGAAAAGGCUUCAUUUUCCCAGUACAUCAAGGCUUGUAUUUGAGAACCAUUUCUGACUAAUGAUGUAAAGCUGGCUACCCAAGUCUUGGUACUUGCAAACCUACUGCAACACUCAGGUAAGCACUAGAAUUCAGCCUUGUCGUCUUGAUGGUGUUGUAGCUGCUUAGAUGCUAAAGUACAUUUUUUUAGACUAGAGUCUCCUCAGUGUUUCUUUAAUGUCAGAGAAUUCACAAGUGGCAUAACAUAGGUGAUAAAUUCAGAGCCAUUUUUAUUAGAAUGCUAACCUAGGUGUCUUUGAACAUGUUAAAGCAGAAUUAGAAAUUCUCCAGGUUUCAUUGAAAAUACUGUCCCUGUUGAGAAAAUAAUUUAAAAUCUAAAUUAGAUAUGAAAGUAAUAUAAUUAAGAAAUAGAAGGAGUUUAAUAUCUUACACCUAAUUCUAACCAAUAUGUUAAAAAUAAAUUCAGGCUUGUCAUUUCAGCCAUAUUUUAGAAGGUGGAAGCUAUUGUAUUUAGAUUCUUUGUAACCAGACAUAUGAGGGCAACCUGUAAAACGCUAUCUCCUCUGAGGUCAAGGAAUGACUUGGGGUCAAUAUUGUCCUCUGAUAAACAACAUGAGAAGACCUGACUUUUGGGUACUCGAGUAGCAUCAUAUAGUGCCAAGAUUUUUAUUCCUUUUAAACUGGUUUAAGGAAAAUCAGCUUCUUUGUCACUUUUCAAAACCUUUAUCUUAGGCUAUAUAGUUACUGAGUUAGUAACUUGGCACGCCCUGCUUUUGCUAAUCAUGGCUCAAGGAAGAAAUCCUUGCGGUUUAAAUAUAUGUGGAAAUAGCUAGAAGAUGAUAGGGAAGUCCUCUAAUGACUAGCUGUGGUAGACAGCGUUAUAAAGCUCUAAUAAUAUUUUGAUUAUUCAGCUCUGAUAGUUUUUGAGCACUGGGCUGUAAAUUAAUGAAAUCAUAAAAUCUGACAUUUUGAUCACAGGGGAAAAAUCAUGUGAAUGAAACUGAAGAGAAGCAUCAUCAGUUCUUUCACUUCUCUGCUGUAGGUAGGGGCAUCUCUGUUGAAUGUCUUUCACAGCAGCCCAUAAUUACAUGUCUGCUUUAUACAAUAGAUAAGAUGACAGCUGGGAGUGGGGAAAAAUACUGGGAAUUCCAGAUGUAAUCUGAAGACCAUGAACUGAGGAGAACAUAUUGCAGAAGAAAAAUCUGUUUGUAUUUCAGAUUUUGUAUUUACUGCUAAGUUCAGCAUUAUGCAAAUUGACUCUGACAGAGGUAUGAGCCAGAGUUGUUACAUUCCAUAGAAAUAUUUUCCUUGCUUUUAUUAGACUUUUGUGGAUUUUGGGUGGGCUUAAGCAAUAGCUCACAGUAACUUGCACAAGCAUUCUUUCUGAUAUUAUCAAAUUCUCUGGAAGCCUGAUUAUGAUAUAUUUGGCCUCUAUUAUAUCAUGAAAUAGGCAUAUCAGUUAAUUAGUUAUCAGCUGCUAUUCUUUUGUUUGUACAAUGUAGUUAUUUACCAUGAAAAAAAAAUUAGAUUAUUUGUUUAGAUUAGUAAUUUAAAUGUACAUAGAAAAAAGUAGCAUAGGGGAGGAAUUUGAGAUCAUUCUGCUAAUUGCUUAGUGGCUAAUGGAAGGUUGAACUCCAAAGUUACUUCUGCUUAAAAUUUCUGCAAAACAAUGAAAAUCGUGGAGUAAAUAACUGAGUGCACUCUCUACCUCUAGUCUUUUUUUUUUGACCUUCUUUUCAAUAAAUCUGUAUUUAUAUAGAUGAAAUUCUGAGGACAUAUCUAGUGUAACAAUGCUGAAUAUAGCAUAACGUGGCACCCAUUAAGUGUGUCUAAAGUAAUUCAUAUUUUUAGCUUCCUGAUUUACAGAGGAGGAUAUGUUAUCUUAUUAUUGUUAUCAUCUUAUUAUUAAGAGUUUAAAAUUCUGGACUUUACAUACAUUGGUGUCAUUCACACAAAGCAGCUUACCUUUGCAUAUCUACCUCUUUUCACAGUCAGAAAGGUGAAUGUACAUUAGAGAGAUCCAGUCUACGUGGGUUUUGGCUGCUGAUUAAAAACCCAUAAACUUAGAAAUUGGAUUUUAUUCAAGUUCUAUUUGAACAAACUCAGUGAAUCCAGAGAAACUGACAGACUGAGCAGUGCUGCUGCAUCCAGUGCUGAGCACUUCAGUCCCAGUGACAGCCCCACCACUGCAAACCCAUGCCAGGCUGUGGCCCUGCUCAGAAAGGAAAGCCAGGCAAAGACAGAAAGGAAAGGAAAUGGGGGUAAAAAGGGAUCCAGGUGGCAGGCUUUCCAGGCAGCACAGACCUGCAGGAUGGGUGGGCACCAGCAGCUCUGUGGCCAAGGGGCUUCUCAUCCUCCCUGGGAAGAGAAUUGCUGUCCCUGCAGCCCUGUCCCAGCAUGAGAGCCCCGUAGCUGUGACCAAGCAAACAACUUCAGAUGUUUCCAGAAGAUGUUGAAGCAAACUGUGCUUGGGCCUCUCAGAGGAGUCAAACAGAAAGCUGAGUGAAAAGUGGUGCUGGAUAAAAACUUCUGCUGAGUGAUGGAUGGCCCAUACACAAAUACAUUACAAAUGUAUAAGGCAAGAAGCCUUCAGGGAAGUUGAACAGUCAUACAGGAAACCAGACAUUUUUGUGGGUUACAAGGUUACAAGUUGAGCCCUGGAUACCAUUUUUUGACAGUGUAUAGAUCCCACAUUUGCUUCUCGGCCAAAAUAGCAAAGACCCUGAAUUUAUCCUAGCUUUUGAACAAGAAAAAUACAAGGCAGCCUGACAGCCUACAUUUCUCUCUGAUGCCACCACAACAGAGAACAAUAGCCCCAGAAAUGGGAUCUUGACACUGCUGCAUGGAGGGAGAGUUUUAAUUUUUGCAACUGGAGAUGUCUAACAGACCUUCUGGAUGAAACACGUCAGGGGAAGCUGCUUUCUGUGGGAAGUCUUUUCUGAAGCUUAAAACGAAGAGAAAUAAUUGAGAUAAACAUGGAAUACGUGGGGGGUGAUUGUCUCAAGUUAAACCCUCAUAUUGGAAACAAGGACAACUACUGUGACUCAACUUGUCAGAACGUCAUGCAGAGCCUUCCCUUAUGGUUACAGUCUUACUGUUCUGCUCAGAGAGGGCAGCAAAGUAUUGCCGAUCUGGGAUCCAAAAGGAUUUCAACUCUGAGAUCUGUGGACUUAGCAACGAUUCUUUUUCAGCCUUUCAAUGCCUUUGGCUUUUGCUGCUGAUGGUAACAAGUUCAACCUGAAGAGAAAAUGUAUUCCUGGA